UGAGUUUAGUCUAGUCGUCCAUCAUAGUUAAUUGCUCGAUAUAAAAUUCAAUGUUUACAAUUUUUAUAUUUUUAUAGUUAGGGGAUAGAAAACCGGAUCAGGACUUUCUAAAUACAUUUUUAAACAUUAGAGCUACAUGAAAUAACACCCCUUUACACUCCUAUUCAUGUUUCAACGGCAUUGUCCAGCUCUGCUGAAACCACGCUCGCGAGAGCAGAUGUUCACGCGAUAACUCGCCGUAUAUACAGGAAGUUCUUGUAAACAACAGCCGUAAUUGCCUGCACCUCCGAGGUUCAUAGAAAUAAAACGUGCUACAAAAAUACAUUGAUUAAAUGAUGCUGUGUAGUAGUUGAAAACAGCCUAGUCGUUAAAAAUAUGCUUACGUAAAGAGGUUUUGUAUGCUAUGCCUGGAACCGGUUAACCUGGAUAAACGAGGGAUUAGUGUACGUAGAAAAGUUUGUUUUUACAGAGUACAGAUGUUAAUCAUUGCUGCAUAGUUGUUGCCGUGAUUCCCAUGAUGUCAUUCACGGUUUUGUUAAUGAUUUCUAUGUAGCAACCAGUGAGCCACCGUUAGUCAUUCAUGAAGGACGUGGAUGAAGUUAUCGUUUGGCACCUGUCAUCCAUAUAAGGGCAACCUGAACAUGAAGAUCCUCACCAUGAUGAUUCCUGUCAGGAGAGCAGUGCUGGUGCCCAUCACAACAAAGCUGUCAAUGAACCAGGUGGACCAGAUGACACCAUUCGAGACCCCCAUCACCUUGAGGGUCUCCUUGAGACGGAGCUCCUUUUCCAGAACGAUGCUUUUGACUAUCAUGGAGACAGAGUACACCCAGGCCAGAACCAUGAAGAUGGGGAAACAGCGGUUCAGCGUGAGCAUGAAGCUGGACAAACAAGAGCAGGGAGGACGUUAAAGUUUAUUUUGGAGGUAAACACCCAGCGGCCAUUCUUUCCCCGUCUGAGUCCGAAUGAUACCAUGUUCUACGAUAUCCUGGAGGUAAGCAAACCCCCCCCAAACAUAGCGCAGGUCAUCCAUCGGAUCCGCCCUUGGGCCUGGGUCCCAAUACCUGAUAGAAAUACACACAUACCAGUGUAAGUAUACUGCAUGUAAUAUUGAGUAUUAUAAUUGCAAUACACACACAUUCUAACCUGUCUUUGACUUUAUUGGUCCGCUCCACAGCAUCGAUAUCCAUACGGAUCUUGAACUUCACAUGAGGCGGGACUUUGGCACUCCAAGGGUGCAUGUUCACAAAGACGAGGCCGGCCCAGAACUUGCCGUCCUCCAGCAGGUCCAAGGCCCGAUAAGUGACUGCGUCCUCGUUGGGCAGAGCCUCAAAUUUAUCCAAGAUCAGGCACUGGACCAGAGGUAAAGGCCGCAUGCUAUUGCAGCAUUCAGCCGUACGGUGGGGGGUGAACGUGCUCCAGAGUACACCCAAUUAAACGCCUUCCUUUUCUGUGUGUCUGAUUUUGGAUGACAAUGAGGACAAUGGAGCUGGGGGGGACAAUGGAGGCCGUUGGUGCCACGCAUUCACCCUGACGAGUGAAUCUUGGAUUCCCACAAGU